UGUGCAGUGGCAGUGUCGGGAGCGCAGGAGCUGCUUUGCCUUUGUGGGCUGUAAUUGCAGAAGCUCAGAGGUAAAAUGGAUCAAGUGGAAAACCUCCACAGGAUGAAGAGGAAGAGGCCAUCUGACAUCCCUGUAGCAGCCCUGCCGUGGCAACCAGCCUGCAAGGAGGAUCCUUCCACAGGAGAGGAAGCUGAACUCAAAGCCCGGUCUCCAUGCAAUACUGCAGGAUCCAACAAGGAAAAAAAGAUUAAGACUCACUGAAUGAUCUGCAGGAAGUUGGAAUUCAUCAUAAAUAACCACCAUCAAAACAGCCCGUCCUGGCCUCCUUCCUUGGGAGGAGAAACUGAACUGACUCUGGGGCAGCAGCAAUCCAUGAAAUUCCCCAGGCUCCUCAGUCCGCCUUGGCCAUGAUUUGACUCUGUGUCAUGAGCCAGGGUCUUGUCCAGAGCACCAGUGCCAAUUGGAGACAUCAGCCUUUCUUCAGGGCUUCAGAGCUGCCUGGAGACAAACCAGAGGUGGGCAAGACAAACCUUGGUGGUGGCUGGAGCACUUGGACCUUGUCUCUAAAAUUGGGUGAUGGCUUGGACAGCAAUAAGAGAACAAACUUUUAUUUUUCAGGGCAUUUUGCUGAAUUUUUCUCAAUCACAGCCUGGUCCUAUGAAGAUUCAGCACUCUUAAAACUGGCCUUGCUUGGCACA